CUUGCUGACACCGGCGCACGGGUGCGUAACGCGUAUGCAACCUACCUUCUACAGGGGGAUAGCCCAGAGAAAUUUGGAAUAAUACCCCAUACGAUCAAUGAUUGGCAUCGAUUAUUGAAGAAAACUCCGGUGGUAGAAGAUGGGCAUGCGUCCUAUUAGUUAGUUGGUGAGGUAACGGCUCACCAAGACGUCGAUAGGUAGGGGCCCUGAGAGGGGGAUCCCCCACACUGGUACUGAGACACGGACCAGACUCCUACGGGAGGCAGCAGUGAGGAAUAUUGGACAAUGGAGGCCACUCUGAUCCAGCCAUGCCGCGUGCAGGAAGACUGCCCUAUGGGUUGUAAACUGCUUUUAUACAGGAAGAAACUGCGCUACGAGUAGCGUACUGACGGUACUGUAAGAAUAAGGAUCGGCUAACUCCGUGCCAGCAGCCGCGGUAAUACGGAGGAUCCAAGCGUUAUCCGGAAUCAUUGGGUUUAAAGGGUCCGUAGGUGGUUAAUUAAGUCAGAGGUGAAAGCCAGCAGCUCAACUGUUGAACUGCCUUUGAUACUGAUUAACUUGAGUUAUUGUGAAGUAGUUAGAAUAUGUAGUGUAGCGGUGAAAUGCAUAGAUAUUACAUAGAAUACCGAUUG
rnacentral:rRNA from 1 species